rnacentral:rRNA from 1 species
UCUUUUUGUUUUAAGAUAUAAAAAGUCGUGCCUGCCCGGUGAUUUAUUUUAACGGCCGCAGUUUUCUGUGCUAAGGUAGCGCAAUAAAUAGCCCUUUUAUUGGGGGAUAAGUAUGAAUGGCUUGACAUGGAGCAACUGUCUUAAUGUAAUAAAUAGAAAUUUCUUUGCAAGUGAAAAAGCUUGUAUAUUUGUAAAAGACGAGAAGACCCUAUCGAACUUGAUUAAAAAUAUUUAAAAUAAGUUUAAAAACACAAACUUAAAUAAAGUGUGUAAAUAUUUUAUUAUUUUAAAGUUUUGUUGGGGUGACAAAGGGCCAUAAAAAAUGUCCUUUUAUUAUAUAUAGAUCCUUUAUGAUAGAAUAAAGCAAAAGUUACCGUAGGGAUAACAGCGUAAUAUUUUUUCAAGAGAUCUUAUUGAGAAAAAAGUGUGCGACCUCGAUGUUGAAUUAAAGAAACUUUAUGAUUGCAAAAGUUAUAAUAGUAAGACUGUUCGUCUUUUUAUUCUUU